CCUACGGGAGGCAGCAGUGAGGAAUAUUAGGCAAUGGGGGAAACCCUGACCUAGCGACGCCGCGUGAAGGAUGAAGGUUUUCGGAUUGUAAACUUCUUUUAUGAGGGACGAUAAUGACGGUACCUCAUGAAUAAGCCACGGCUAACUACGUGCCAGCAGCCGCGGUAAUACGUAGGUGGCGAGCGUUGUCCGGAUUUACUGGGUGUAAAGGGCGAGUAGGCGGGCUUGCAAGUCAGAUGUGAAAUACCGAGGCUCAACUUCGGGGCUGCAUUUGAAACUGUAAGUCUUGAGUGAUGGAGAGGCAGGCGGAAUUCCCAGUGUAGCGGUAAAAUGCAUAGAUAUUGGGAAGAACACCAGUGGCGAAGGCGGCCUGCUGGACAUUAACUGACGCUGAGGAGCGAAAGUGUGGGGAGCAAACAGGAUUAGAUACCCUGGUAGUC
rnacentral:rRNA from 1 species